GAAGAGAAACGUUCCAUCUCAAAUUCUCAAGCAACCAAAGAAAAACGUUUUCCUCCAAAAAAAUCAAAAUGAAUUCAAUGUCAUUCUUUCAAAACUAAGAAGAACCAGAAACGGUUUUCUCCAAAAUCAAAAGAAUUCAAUGAUCAUUCGUUCCAAAGUUUUAGGAACCAGAAAAUAUUUUCGUCCGUGAAUUUUUAAGGGGCAAAGGCAAAUUUCGUUCAAACAACGAAGGUCUUCCAACGAAAUAUUAUACGGAGUUUCUCCUACUCCAGGUAUUUUAAGGCUAUCCCUUCUUUCUUUUGGCAUGAUCCAUACGAUACGAACGGAAUGUGCAAAUGCACAAAUUUCAUGAAUGACUCUAUUCAUAGAAGUAUUAGAGAUAUCUGUGUUCUUCAAUUUUCGUGUGUUAUACUAUCUUAUCAUCUGUUCAUGGGUCUCAGAAAAAUACGAAAGUUGAAAAGAGUUUACUUUAUAAUAUUACUCAGAGGCAAAAUGGUUUUAUGACAUUCCGAAUGAUUUUUUUGACGUACUUUUAUGUACUGCAUUGAACCAUGAGCAAAUGGCGUUAUAUACACGUAUAUAUGUAAAUAUAUGUAUAUUGGAUAUGGGAUAAGGUUACGGCAUUAUAUACGCACCACCACCUAAUCAGCUGGUAAAUGAUGAUGUUGUUGCCCAUAAUGGCUGAAAUAGGAUUCAAACGGCGUUAUAUACGCAUAUAUAAGUAUGUAUUCAAAUGGUUUUAUAUACACGUAUAUAUGUAUGUAUAUAUAUGUAUAUGGGAUAUGGGAAAGGUUAUGGCGUUAUAUACGCAUCACAACUUGAUCAACUGGUAUACAAUGAUGAUUUUGCCCACAGUAGCCGAUAUAAUAUGAUGGGAUGCCCUCAGAGACUGAUGAUGUUAUGAAACAAGUACCUACGCAAGACAUGACAUUCAUACGCAUAUGCAUGACGUUAAAAGUAAUUUAUGAUUUACAAAGUUAUUCAGACUUAUAGGUUGAGUCAUGUACUCUAUGUGUCUUCCAUAUCUCUUAUGUAUUUAUUUAUGUGCCUUACAUACUCGGUACAUUAUUCGUAAUGACGUCCCUUUUGCCUGAGGACAUUUCGUUUCAUGGCCACAGGUCCCGAUAAACAGGUCGAGAGCCCUCCAAGUAGGUUAUCAGCUUGGCGGAAGAUGUUGGUGUGCUCCAUUUGCUUCGGAGUUGCUUGUUUGGUUAGUAUGAUUUAGACGUGUAUUUUUUGGUAUGGCGGGACUCUAUCCCAACCUCUAUGACAUUUAUGUAUUCUUAGAGCUUGUACAUAUAUGUCGUAUACAUUAAAGAUUGUACGGCCUAUGUUUGAGUUUAUAAAUAAUUAUGUUGGCCUACUAGGCCCGUAUGACACGUGUAUAUAAUGAUGUAAUAAGAAAGAUAUGUUGCGUUGGUACUCGGUUGAGUAAGGUACCGGGUGCCCAUCGCGGCCCAUCGGUUUGGGUCAGGACAAAAGUGGUAUUAGAGCAGUUCUGUCCUAGGGAGUCUACAAGUCAUGUCUAGUAGAGUUUUGUUUAUGGGUGUGUCGUGCACCACACUUAUAAGCAGGAGGCUACAGGGCAUUUAAGACUGUCACUCUUUCUUCUUACUCUAAAUAGUGUGGUAGAGCUCACUUAUAAGAAUUCGAAUUCCGAUUUUUUCUUAUUAUUCGUAAUAAGACGAUACCUACAUCCAAAAAGAAGGAUUGGAAAGAGAGAUAGUUGUGGAAGAGCUGAGUCAGAGGAAUUGAAUAUUUGUAUAAUGCCUACGAUAAGUAAAUGUGAGGUCUUUAGCAGAUCAUGGGUGUACUGAAAGGUGCAAGCUUCCUGAUAAGAAGCCUUAAGGCAAAAAUAUUUAUCUAUCUUUAUGGUAAAAAAAAACAAAAAAAAAAACAAUGAGAGAUUAAAAAGAUAAAUACAGGUUUCAACAAGCAAAGGAAGCAAGAUGAAGAAGGGUACGCGACACCCAAAUAAUGAAGGCUAACGGCGUUUAUAAUUGAGGCAGAGGAACAUAAGUUUUUUGCGUUAUAUUCAAUAGUAAUAGAGGUAUAUACAAUUGGUCGCACCCAUUCCAGAUAUUCCAUAUGGGGAUUAACAGAAGUAGUAUAAGAAGAUAUGAUGGAUAAAUUGUUUGCGUCAGUUGGCAUUUCCGAAGGAUAUUGCAAAUAUGCUAAUAGAUCUCUUUAUGAGACACCAGAUGGUGCACUCUGAAAUAGUGCAGCCAGAUGUGAGUACUACAAAGACAUGCACUAUAAGCCUUGAAGGGAUAAAUAUUACUAUAGUGUGGCUCGCGUCCCUAGUAAAACGAGAAUGUUAAGCAACUUGAAGAGCCAUUGGAUAGAGCAAGGGGAAGCUAAGAGCAAAAAAAAUGUCUUGUUUAAGUUUGCAGAAUAAAGUGAUAGGCAUAAAUGUUAGCGGGAAAUAAGAAAAGAGUUAAUGAAACAAUAUGAGUAAGAUGUGAUACAUGGAUGACAAUGGUAUAUCAUAAGAUGACAAUAUUACAAAAUCUAUAAUCAAGUGAAAGAAGAAACGAGAAGUGAUAGGCCUUAGGACAACAAAAGAGUAUAGGCCAUACAAUCAUGUCCUCCUUUCAAGAAAUAAAUUCACAACUCUAGCGUGAUUACCAAGAGGAAAGGUUAGACCUAGAGUAAUAGAAUAAGUAUGGAUUGGUGAACAAGAUAAACUAAACAUGAAUUAGGAACUGUGUGACUGGUGAUAGUCACCAUCAUAAGAACUUCAGAUUUUGUUCUGUCAAUAAUAGAAUGGACAACAAAAGAAGAUUCAUGGGAAAUUUCGAGAAUGGUCAUUCAGAAAGACGCUUCCCUACAGCAAGCAAUGUGAGCAAAAUUAAGCUUAAGAGACUAUAUGUGCCAAUUAUAGUAAUUGUCACCUCGCAAGUAAGGAAUUUCGUUAUCCUUAGUACAAAAGGAUUACCGCAAGGAGAGUAAGGGUCAUCGAUGAUGUGAAAGGAUGCCAAAAAUGAAGAGGUAGAACAUCUAUAGGCAGAUUGUCGUAGCUUCAAUUUUUAGUACUCCCCAAAAGGGGGGAAUAUGGAAUAACAUGACAUUACGUCAGAAUUAAGUGGUUCCGGUAAUUAUGGAAUGAUAAAGGAAGAAUACGAUAAAACGAAAAAGGUAUGAGAUUGCACUUAUUCAAAGCCUACAGUUAUGCCACGAUACAAGAGAAUUAUUCAAACACGACGUCAGUAAAAGGAAGUAAGGGUUCCUGCCGAGAUAUUAUUAAUUAAUAUAGAGCCAGUGCGAGAGGCAAGUUAAGACAAAGGAAAUGACCCAAGAAAGAUUACGCGGAAUAUUGAUACGGGAAUGGGCCAACAAACAAUUAGUAGUUGAUUAAAGAAGAGCCUAGCUAUGACUAGAUAAGAGAAUAAAGACAAAUUAAUAGAUCGUGCAAGAUAAACAUAGGGAACCCCAAUAUGAGGAAUUCUGCCCCACAGUUAUGACAUUGUAAUCCUGGAAAAGCAUCUAUAUAGGAGUUGGGUAAGUUAAAAUAAGUGUUGCGGAAAUAAAAGAAAGUACCACCGUGAAGACAGUCAAAAUAUUAGUUUAGGAGUAACCCUACAAGCACAAUGGCGUAGAGACAAGUAACUACAGGUAAUUAUAGGCAAGGAAGAACAUCGAAAAUUCUUCCAGGCAAACAAUGUGAUAAGCUCGCAGCCUUACAAGAGUCAGAGGACCCUUCCUAAAUACUACAACGAAAGACUAAAAAAGAAAGUAAGGAAGAAUGCUUCAACCUAAGCUCAGUGACCUAAGGAGAGAAUGGUCAUGUAAUAACAGUCUCACAACAACAUUGGAAGCACUCCAAAAGAAAGUGGCACCUACCGUGGCUAAUGAACAGGAAGUAAAAAUUAAAAGUAAUACUCGAGAUCAUAUGAGUUGCACGAAAACUCUGGCAUGUGUGGGUACUGAGAUAAGCCAAGUAUAGACGCAACACGGGGGCAGAAAGACUAGGAAAAGUAAUAGCUUAUCUUGAAAGAAAGCUAAGAUGGAACGAAAAAAAAUUAUUCGAUCAAUGAUACAGAGUUGGUUACGUUAUGAACACACUUAAGGAUUUGGGGCUUUAUACAUGCAAUAUAUACGGCCGUAGAAGAUUCUGGUAUACGUUAAAAGAAAGAAUUGAGCCCAAGUCAUAGAUGAAGGAUUGAAUUAUUAAAGGGUUCUAUCAUGGAUAUUCAUCAGCAUCCAUAAAAGGCUAAAGUAAUAACUAAUAUCAUGAGCCGCAGGUCAGGAGAUAGCUUAAGCCUACAUAAAGGUUGAUCAGAAGGAAGAGGAAACUAAAGAAUUACAUCACCCAAGUACAUCAGGAGUCUUAUUAUUGGACCUAGAAAAAAAUUAUAGAAGUUGUGCUUGAGAACAUGACAGAAUCACUCUUAAUAUCAGAUGUUCUAGAGAAAUAACACAACAACCAUAGUCUAUAAUGGCUCUACAAGGAAGCCAGUUAGAAGAAGUAUCAGCCUCAUAAGAAGUAAGUACGAAGCUCCCAUCUGAUUGUGUAUGUACCAAAGGUACGAGUAUUAUAAUACAACCUAAAGUUAUGGACAUGAAUUACACCUAGGUGGAAGGGAGGUCAAGAAAGAGAUAAAAGAUACGAUGCGAGAUUUUAAGGUAAGUAAGGUAAAGGUAAAUAACGUACGAGAUACUCAAAGGCAGAAUAUGUGAAUAGUCCAUACUUCGGAUAAAAGGUUAGAAGUGCUGAGAUUCAAUAUCCAGGAAUGAUAGCAGCAUCGUUAGUAGCAUACCUUCCAACCUAUGGUCGAGGUAUCGAAAAGCUUGAAUAACAGAGUAAAGAAGAAUUAGAGACGAUGCGAUAUCUAGCUUGAUGUUCCAAAUGACAUAAGGAAUCUAUGAUGCAGGCAAGUUGAAAGGUUUCUAGUAAUAUAAAUAGAGAUGUGUAGGUCAAAAGUUAUUGUAUGGUGAAGCGACAAGGUUCUAGAAGACAUGAGCAAGGAUAAGAAUAUGUGAAUGGGAAAGUAACAAAAUGGAUAAGUCCUUAGAAUUAAGCCCAUGAAAACAAUAAGAGCAUAUGAUUUCUCUAUGUCAUACAAAGAUUAGUGUAGCCUGAAUGAACUCAAACAAGUCAAAGACAAAUGGCAUUUAGAAGGAAUGAAAUGCUGACCCAGUAACAAAAUGAGGGUAUAGUUGUCACAGAUAAAAGAUGAAGUUUGGGCCUUCGUUUGAAUAAUGAUUUGAAAAAAUAGAAGAAGAGGAGGAGAAAAAGAUUCCGCGGAUGGCACGAAAUUAAGAUACCCAUAAGGAGAAUCACAUUGAGACACUAUGACAUACGAUUAUGGGAAUCACUUCAAAUAUUCCUCGAUGCAACUUAAGCCCUAGUGGCAAUGUAUUACGUAAGAAGUUUCAAGUUAUCGAUGGAAGAUUAUAGAUAAACAUUGAGGUGAAUCGACAAUGGAUGGAUAAAAGUUACAAAGUACGAAAUGAAAUUAGACAAUCAUUCCUAAGAUGAACAGUAAUGAGGAAGUAUUAAAGGACUUAGACUUAUACAUAUAUAAUAAGCAGUGGAAGAGUAACCUAGAGUUUGGUCGUCGACCUCAGUAACUAAAAAUAGAAGUAGGAGUUAUGGUAUAGUAUGACCCAACUGGAUGCAGUAAAGUCAUACGGAUGGCUAAACGGACCCAUGCGAUAAAAUAUAGCAAUAUUCGUGAGUUCAACAAAGUGCCGAGAGAAGAACUUCAGUAUACUCAUAGAUACCCAAAGGGACAUCUUGUCGAGUUCUGUAUAUGUUCCCAAAGUAAGAAAAGGCGAUUGUCUAAAAGCUAAAGGAAAGAGUCUCAUAGGAGCACAUAGUAGGAAGAAGUCGUACAGGCUGCAUGACAAAAUGUAGCAAUAGUUACGAAAUUGGACGAAUUCCGAUUACAAAUCAUGGGGUGUGAAAGAGGCCUAAAGGAGGGAAUGCCCUAGCAUUUGGAUUUACUAACAGAACAGUUGCCAUGAUGGAAAGAAGAGCACAAAGUAUUUAGAAGACAUAAGUUACGAAAACGAUAAGUGCACCAGUCAACAUUCGAGGACGAAUGUUCCAAAGGGGGGAAUGAUUUUACACCCCAGGUUUUCAUGCGUGAAAGUACGCCAUAAGUAAAAUGAUGAAAGUUUGAAAAUGAGAUAUUAUAUUUCGCAUUUUUUUACAUUAAAGCAUCAUCGUACAAUAAAGCUUCGUCGUAAGAUUAAUCAACGCAAAUUCGGGAAUGAGAUUUAUUUUGGAAUUAUAAGUAAUACGCUAUUUAUAUCAAGCGAUAAAUAAGUGCUAUGAAGGAUAAAGGGGUACACGAAUUAAAGAAAAGGAGUUUUGUUAAAAGUGACCAAUUUGGGAUAAAAUACGGGUCGAGGGAUAAUAUCCGAUAAUUAUAAACUAGUAUCAUGUGAGGUACCAUACGACCACGGUAGUAUAAUAUAUAAAGUAUAUAUAAAGAAUAUUAAAAAUAAGUUGAAUUUUAAGUAAUUUGAGGUAAUUUUUAAAUUAUGCGGGUAAUUGGUUCCAUUACCCGAUUAACUAAUAAGCGGAUAAAAACCUAAUAGUUAUCCCAACCACGUGGUAAGAAGCCACUAAGAUAAGAAGUGACUAAGUAAGUCACUUAUAGCCACCUAUGCAAAAACAAGAUAGGAUAACUAACUAAGUUAUCUUCUAAAGUCUAAAUAUGAACCAAAAUGACUCAAAGAAAUGUCAUUCUUUCCAAAGCUUCAAGGAAGAAAAACAUUCCAUCUCAAGUUCUCAAGCAACCAAAGAAAAACGUUUUCCUCCAAAAAAAAUCAAAAUGAAUUCAAUGUCAUUCUUUCAAAACCAAGAAGAACCAGAAACGUUUUUCUCCAAAAUCAAAAGAAUUCAAUGAUCAUUCGUUCCAAAGUUUUAGGAACCAGAAAAUAUUUUCGUCCGUGAAUUUUUAAGGAUCAAAGGCAAAUUUCGUUCAAACAACGAAGGUCUUCCAACGAAAUAUUAUACGGAGUUUCUCCUACUCCAGGUAUGUUAAGGCUAUCCCUCCUUUCUUUUGGCAUGA
rnacentral:lncRNA from 1 species